CCCUUAGAUGUCCUGGGCUGCACGCGCGCUACACUGAUGUGUCCAGUAAGCACCUAACCUCUUCCGAAAGGAACGGGUAACCUUUGCAAAGCACAUCGUGAUGGGGAUAGAUUAUUGCAAUUAUUAGUCUUGAACGAGGAAUUCCUAGUAAGCACAAGUCAUCAGCUUGUGUUGAUUACGUCCCUGCCCUUUGUACACACCGCCCGUCGCUCCUACCGAUUGAAUGUUCCGGUGAGCUCUUCUGACUGCGCGGUCUGCAGUUUCUGCGUUCCGUGCGGAAAGUUGCGCAAACCUUAACAUUUAGAGGAAGGAGAAGUCGUAACA
rnacentral:rRNA from 1 species